rnacentral:lncRNA from 1 species
GCAGGAAGUAGUUGUCAUGGAAGAAGUAGCCCACUUUCUAAACCAAGAAAAGCCCGAGGAGAUUAGCAUGCACAUUUAUGACUUCAUUAAGAAAUUCUGAUUCUCAUCUCCUAUGGUACCUGACCUCCCUUGACGUUCAGAUUCUACAAUAAAGUGUUAAGACGUUGCAAUGGACCUGCUUAGCUGUUUUUGAUGCUUUCCUUUUUUUCUUCCAACUAGUGGAAUAAGUGUUGGUGCAGUGCCUUAUAUACGCUUAUGGAACUCAAAGUUGGUUCUGAUUACAUAUAAGAUACUAUGGAGAAUAAAGAGGCUGUGAUAAAGGUCUUGCUAAGAAGUCAAGGCUAGUCGGUCACUUUUAAGCGUUCAGUUCAUUUGUCUAUCGAACUGAAGCUUUAUAAUAAUCUUCAUCAAGCAACUUAUUUUCAAUCGAGAUAUUCCAUUUAACAUUACAAAGUAAAAUAUGAAUGAAAUUAACAAUUUACUACUAUCUUCAACUUUUUUUUUUUUUAGAUGUAAGAGACCAAAAUAUGAAAAUAAAAAAGAAUUACAAGUAUUGCAAUUCGAAUUUUAAAUUUAUUAAAUAAUAUUUCAUAAAAAUGAUGCAUGAACCUAUCUAGUCAUGUUCGAGAUUCAACUAUUUUUUUUUUAAAUUAUCUUAGAGUAAAAUUAUUUUUUGGGGGAAAAAGUAGAUUCUUUUUCUGCUCAAGUUAACAAAAGUAAAAACUUACUACUGCUACUGCUUCUUUCUUACUUAAACCAAAUAUAACUAGGUAACAAUGAGAAAAGGUCAGACAUGAUCAGAUCACAGGCAGUUCUCUCUCUAAGCUCUUGAAAUGUGGUCUCGUUAUCCAGUUUUACCUUCUUAAAUUAAAAGGGCAACAUAAAUUUUCUGUGGGCUCAAGGGUAUAUGCUAUGGCCUAUGCACUUUAUAUGCCAACGCAAUUUAACCAAGUUCGCUAAUAAAAACACGAAAAGGGAUAGGAUAAUUGAAUCAUAUCACACUCGUUAAAAAAUAUAUAUAUUUGUGAUGCAUUGAUCCUUAUCCAAAUAAUUUGUUCCCAUAUUAGCAAUUGUUUGGGGCCGAUAUUCUUUAUAUAAGUUGAAUCCAUCGCGUCAUUUGCUUUAAUUUUUUCUAUUAUUUUCUUGUUUUCAUGUUUUGAAUAGCUAUGCAGUUCAUAAAAAUUCUUGAAAAGCUACUGUUCAGCUUAAAAAACGAUAAAGUUAUAGAAGCAUUAAUUCGUGGUUAACUUCUUGAGUACUCCGUGCGUCAUGUAAAAAUGAAACCGCUGGAUUAAUACUUAAAAGCUAACAAUCAACCGUAGAUUAAAAAAAAAAAAAGGCUUGAACCAACUAAUGGUCAAACAUUCCUAUUUCCUACCUCCAAAACCAUGUGCCUAGUCCAACCGCCAAAGUUUCGAUGGGUUUCAUUUUUCUGUGGGGUAAAGGAAAGGAGAAGAACAUCAACUUGCUUGACUUGACAGCACAUGUAAUUAAUUUUUUAAUUUAAAAAUUUAUUUUAUUUGUUACAUAUUAUUUAAAAUAUAUUUCUCAAUCUUUUAAUUUUGUUCAUAAAUUAAGAAAUUAUAAUAUAUCAGAUAUUAAUUUUUUAAAUUUAUCUCAAAGACGUCAAGUACGAAUUAAUGGUGGGCAAGGACGGGGCCAAGGGACAAGGGAGUCUAGAAAAGGAAAAGAACACUCAAGGUUAGGGACUUGUUGUUCGAACUCGGAAUAAACGCAUUACGACACUGUGAAACGACGAAAAUGUACUUCGCACAUUAUAAUUCAUGCCAUUUCAUAUUGCUUGCUAGUAAACAAAAUAAGUAGUUUCAAUAGUUCUGACUUCCCUUGGAUGCUCUCAAUUGUCAUGGCUUUUAUAAUUUCAGGCUUUGAAACUUUGUAUUUGAAAAUUUUUAAACUAGUUUGGCAAGUGAAAUAGGGAAGUUCCCAUCCCUUAUUCCAGGGAUUACUUCUCUUGUUUUAGCUUAUAUCGAUUCCUAUCCCACCUGGUAGUCUAGUCUUUUCCAAAGUAUAUACCUAAUCAAAAUGAAGUGAAAUCAGUUGUUUGUUUUAUUCAUCUAGAUAUUCCUGCUUCUUGCCAACUCGUAUUGAAGUUCGUUAGAUGUAGACCAUAUAAAAGGAGAGAAUUAAACUGUAUUUCCUUCAUAUCUCACCCUUCGAUCACUUCCCAAAAUUUUCCUUUGUCAAAAAUAUAUAAAUCCCUUUGAUGACAGAACUCCAUUUAACCAAAACAGUUUGGGUUUGCUUUGAACAUCAAUUCUUUAACCUUUUUGUUUUGCUUCAUCACUGAUUUGUAACUUCUCUAUAGCUAAAGUACUAUAUAUAUAUAUAUAUUAUACUUAAAUUAACCCAAAUUUUCAACCGUCUUCCCGUGGAAAAAGAGAAGGUAUUGAUUAAAGAAUCAACCAAAUUUAGCUUACUCACGGAAUCCUCGAGGAUAUAACACAUUUCAAAAAAAUAUGUGGACCAAAUUUCAAAGUUGACUUCCCACUCGAUCGCUUUGUUAUUCUCUCCCUUCCAUAACCAGCUCUAAUAGAAUAUGUACUACUAAUAAUUAGUACGCGGAAUAAGGAAGCAUAUGGCAUAUAGGGAAAUGGCUACUAGCUCUAAUUCAUGCAUGCCACCCUACCUAAACGACUCUUCCCACUUCCCAAAUUUAUCCAUGCUUUAAUAUAUAAUAACAUAUAGACACAAAAGAAUCUAUCUUACCAACAACUUUUUAUGCUUGAGUUCCAAUCAGAAAAGAGUUUGCUUGUCAUCUACAUAUUACUAAUUACUGCGGGAGAGUUUCGAGAAACUAUUAAUUUUACGUAAAUAGGUAAAUAAUUAUUUCUUUUACAUUUAUUGGGUUAAUUUGUUCCUUAAUAAUCUUUUCAAUUUUUGUCUUAAUUUAUACUAUUUAUUUUUUAUUUUUAAACUAAAUUAGUUUUUAAGAGAAAAUAAAAGUUUUGAGAAUGUAUUUUUUUAUAAUAUUUUUUUAAAUAACACGUAAUUAAGUUCCUUUUUUUAAAGUCAAUUGGGUUACUAAAAGAAAACUUGAAACAAGAAAAAAAAAAAAAACAUUUCUCAACCAUCUUUCUUCUACCAUACAAUUUUGUUUUUCAAAAUAUAUAUAUUAGCCCAACAACCAUUCUCUAAAUUAGAUGGCCUUUAAAAGAGUUUUGGCUCUUAAAUAUUGCAUUGAAAUUCGUACUCGCAGUUCUUUUAUGCUAACGCUCUUCCCAUGUUCAAUUAAAAGAUAUGUGAUAUAUGAAAUCAUCGUAUCCUUAAAUUUAAGCCGCAAUGUAUACAACCAAUUUCCCGACGACAUGGCCCUUAUUAAAUUAAUAAUAUUGGCUUUGUAAUUUAUCUUUUAGAUGUCUAGCAAAGUUGGUUCAACCGAUGCUUGCAUGUACAAUGCAAGAACGAUAGGGGAUAUUUUGAUAUGAUCACUCAAAGAAGGUGAUUGGACUGUUUCAUAAUCUAGAAUCGAUGCUAAACAACACAAUUCCAAAUUUCUUUGCUAAAUGCUUUUAUCUUCUUUCCUUGAAUUACAAGCAUAGUACAUUAAUUACGAAAAAAAAUUACUUCAAGUAAUGAAAAUGUGUUCAUGAAUUUUUGUUAUUUUCUUCCUAUGGCUUGAUUUUCUUUAACAAUAUGUUUGGAUAAAUAUUAAUAAAAUAAAACAAGAGUUUUUUUUUAAAUAAAAGAUAUAUGUAUCCUUUGUUUAGAUAAUUAAAAUUAAUAAAAAAAAAUUCUAACAACCAUUGUUCGAAUAAAAUAUGAAAAAUAAAUAAAAUGAUUCAUUAUAAUAAUUUUUUUUCAAUUAUAACAUUUCAUUGCUCGUGAUUUUAUAACACUCCUAGACUAUAAUAUAUUUACAUAUUGUCGAUCUCAUAAUUAUUGUUAUAUCAGUGAUUUUUUAUCAAGUGAAACAAUAAGAUGUUUUAUAAAUGAUUGUGAGCUAAUCCGACAUCUUAUAAACAUAAAAAAAAAUAUUUAUUUAUAUUCAAUCAUUCAUUAAAAUCAAAACACUAAAAAUUAUAAAAAAAAUUUAUAUUAAAAAAGACAUGUGAAAUUUACUUGAAAAAUAGAUGGCUUUGAAAAAAAUUAUAGGAUAAUUAUGAUGUGGUUAAGUUUUUUUUCCUAGAUUUGUAGUAUUAAUAAAAAGAUAGAUAUAAUAAUCGUUUUAUAAAAAUAAAAAAUUUUUAACUUUUUUUCCCUAGGUUUUCUUCAAAUUGAGAUAUUAAAAAAGUGAGGAUUACAAUGAAAAAUUAAAAGCUAUUGAGUUUUUACCUAUUUUUUUCCUUUAAAUUAAUGCAAUGGUUGGAUAAAUAUUAAAAAAAGAAAGUAAAGGAAGGGAAAUGAAAGUUUUUUAAAGGAAAAGAAAUAUAUAUUUACCUUUUGUUUGGAUAAUUAAAAUUAAUAAAUGAAAAAAAAAAUUAUAACAAUUUUUGUUUGGAUAAAUAAUGAAAAUAAAAGAAAUGCUUCAUUAUAAUAAUUUUUUUCAAUUAUAAUUAUUUAUUAUUUGUGAUUUUAAAGCACUCAUAAAUAUAAUAAUCUUUUUAUAAAAAUAAUUUUUUUAACUUUUCUUUUUUUUACCUUUUACUUUAAAUUGAGGUAUUAAAAAAGUGAAAACUACAAGAAAAAUAAAAAAUUAUUAAAUUUUCAUCUCUUUUUUUUAAAAUUAAAAAUUUAUUCAAACAAAUAAAAAAUUUUUCUAUUUUCAUUACUUUAUUUUAUUUUCCUCUCCUCCCCCUUCAUUCAAUUCAAAUAUAGUGUAAAAAUUUAUCCACAUAAAUAAAAAUUUUUUUAUUUCCAUUACUUUAUUUUAUUUUCUUUCCUCUCCCUUCAAUUUAAACAAAGUGAAAGAAAAAAAAAUACAAUACUGUUAUUUCAUUAAAAACUUUUCGUGUGUUUGUCUCUUGUGAAUAAUUAUAUGAUCUACUUAUAGAAUAUUAAAAUUUUAAUUUUAAUAAUAAAAAUUCAAAUCAUCGUAAUUUCAGUAAAAAAAAAAUUCCUGUUUUAAUUUUUUUUCUAGUAAAUUUUUCUUGGUUUUCUUUCUUACCAAAAUUUCUGCUUCAGCUUUGCCUAUUCCUAUGUAAUGCGGGUCGAAAGUCCACAUCAAAAAUAACAAGCAAAACCCGAAAUCGAAAACUCUUCUAAGAAAAGUUGUUUGAAAAAGACAAGAAUCCACCUUCAAAACCAAAGCCGAAGCUAUAUCCCACUCGGGACAAGGCCUAACUAUGGGAACUGUCGCUACAGAGUACAAGCAUUUAGCAACAAAAGCUACAGAAAAAAUUGUCUGAAACCGAACAUGGAGAAGAUAGAGCACACCGUGGUGACCACCAACGGCAUAAAAAUGCACGUCGCAUCGGUUGGUUCAGGCCCGGUAAUCCUUUUCCUGCACGGCUUUCCCGAGCUUUGGUAUUCCUGGAGGCACCAGCUUCUUUCCCUGUCAUCCCUCGGGUACCGUUGCGUGGCUCCCGAUCUUCGUGGGUUCGGUGAUACCGACGCGCCUCCCUCGGCGACUUCAUACACUGUUUUCCACAUCGUGGGGGAUCUCGUUGGCCUUCUCGACGCGCUUGGUGUUGACCAGGUGUUUUUGGUGGGGCAUGAUUGGGGUGCGAUGAUCGCAUGGUAUUUUUCCCAGUUCAGGCCUGAUAGAGUCAAGGCUUUGGUCAACAUGAGCGUGGCGUAUCGGCCUAGGCACCCCAAGGUGAAGCCCGUGGAAGGACUCAGGGCUUUGUUUGGUGACGAUUAUUAUAUUUGCAGGUUUCAGGUAAAUUGAUUUUGCCAUAAAAUUUCAAGUUACUUCCCUGUUUUCUCUUCUCUGUUCGGAAUUGCCAUUCAUUACAAUGACUUUAUUGGGUAAAACUGCAACUGGAAUUGGUUGACUACAUAUUUGCCUUGUUGAACUUUCUAUUUGCAUGUAGUUUUGAACCCAUCAUCACAAAAUACAAUUAUCCAUUUCCCCUCUUUUUUAAAAAGAUAUUCUUUGACUAGAGUGAGUCAAAAAUUGUUGUUUGCUAAUACAUUGAUUGUUUUGCAUGGGAGAAUUGCUUGAAUUAAUGGGAGUAUGGACUUUUUCUGGUAGUUAAAGUAGCAGAUAAUGUGAUUUUGAUAUAAUUGGGUUCUCCUAUCUGUUUUUGGAAAUGGAUUUUCAGUAUUUAAGUUUCUUGCCUUUGAGGCUCCACUUAUUUUUGGCUUGGAUUAUCAUUACAGUCCCUAUCUACUUUUAAAGUAAUAAAAUCCAGCGUCCCAGUCCCAGGACUACUAAUAGUAUUAGAAGACAAACUCAGGUUGUGGGCUGACUUUGGAUGAUUUCUACAUACUCCGAUCUCCAUUCUGAACUUUUAUGAUGAAUAAUAAUUUCUCACAAAUGGUUGCUUUGAGGUGUGAUUAAUGAAGGAAGCUAUAGUCAACUCUGCUGGAUCCAAAAACAAGAUUAUAGUGAAGCUUAGACUACUCAAAACUGUACACUAUACCUCAACCGAGUAUUUAUGUUGUCACUAUUUUUUACAUGAUUGAGACCACAUUUAGUAUACGGAUUUUUCUUGUUACAGCAAAAGCAAUGGCUCUUUAUCUUUUUCCCAUUCCCUACCUUUUCCCUUGGGAACAAAUUGUCAGAGAUUUUCAAAAUAAAUUAUGGGAAAUAAUUCCACAUUGAAAAAAGAACAGAAAAGACAAUCAUUUAAAUUAAGAGGAGUGGAAGUCUAAUGCAGUUGGACUUAAGUGGCUAAAGUGCAAAGAUGGACCAUGAGCUUGGAUUUUCUAGCUUGAUUGGUCUUGCAUUAAUUAAAUAAUUUUGCACACCAACUAGUAAAUAGUACAGUGGGAGAGAAUAAAAUCUUAAAGAAAAUGGUACAGUUACAUAUCUCGGAGCUUUCCUCAAAAUUUCUGAUUUACCAGAAGUAGUAAUUCCAGAUUUUCUGAUUUUUGUUCUAACACAAAUAUUUCAAAAAAGUCUUUGUAUUAGCUUGCUUAAAUUUAAAAACAUUGAUAUCUGAAAUACUUUCUCUUAAUAGGUAUAAGUUGUUUGAUUAUCGGGUGUUCACUUUUCUUCUUUUCAGUUAUCUUAAAUCCUUAGAUCUUAUAUCUAUUCAAUUUUACUUUCAUGGUAUAUAUUCUUCAUUAUUCUGUAGGAACCUGGGGAGAUUGAAGAAGACUUUGCUCAGAUGGAUACUGCAAAAGUUAUGAAGUUAUUUCUUACAUCUCGCAAUCCACGUCCACCUUGUAUUCCUAAAGAAACAGGUCUCAGAGGUUUGCCUGAUCCUCCAGCCUUGCCUUCUUGGCUUUCAGAAGAAGACAUCAACUACUAUGCUAGCAAAUUUAAUCAAAAAGGAUUCACCGGAGGACUGAACUAUUACCGAGCUUUGAAUCUGUAGGUGCAAUUGUGCAUGCUAAGAUUGUUGAACUCUCAUUUCUGUUUCAUUUUUCUGCUGAAUUUUGACCGAUAAGCUAACUAGCUAAUCUUCUCUUGGUGCUUGAUCCUUUCUUCAAUGUCUUUCACUUAUAUUUUGCAGCCCUGAUAAACUUUACAAAUCUUCUAUAUUAUUCAUGAGGAUUAGGUAAACAUGAAAUUAGGAACCUAGAUGUUCAGUACAACGCUUGGUGGAGCAGUUAUUGGAGAUGAUUUGCAUUCAUAUCAUUCAACACAUCUAGUUUCAUUAUCUUGACAUUUCAUAAUAAUUACUUAAUUGAGCAGAGAACAUGAUACUUUCCAGCACUAUUUCAUCUCUCUCUUCAUUUUGUUUAGGCAUCAUUAGAACUUGAUGACUUAAUUCCGCAAAAGUCAAAACUUGAAAAAGCUGGAUCAAUCAUUGAAAGGCCUGUUUGUGUAGCCAAGCUAAUCCAAUCAUCCUUGUUGCAGAAACUGGGAACUGAUGGCGCCAUGGACCGGAUUACAAAUCAAAGUGCCAGUUAAAUUCAUCGUGGGCGACCUGGACAUUACAUACCACACCCCUGGUGUCAAGGAUUAUAUACACAAUGGUGGAUUCAAGAAACAUGUGCCUUUCUUGCAGGAAGUAGUUGUCAUGGAAGGAGUAGCCCACUGUCUAAACCAAGAAAAGCCCGAGGAGAUUAGCAUGCACAUUUAUGACUUUAUUAAGAAAUUCUGAUUCUGAUCUCCUAUGGUACCUGACCUCCCUUGACGUUCAGAUUCUACAAUAAAGUGUUAAGACGUUGCAAUGGACCUGCUUAGCUGUUUUUGAUGCUUUCCAUUUUUUCUUCCAACUAGUGGAAUAAGUAUUAGUGCAGUGCUUUAUAUACGCUUAUGGAACUCAAAGUUGGUUCUGAUUACAUAUAAGAUACUAUGGAGAAUAAAGAGGCUGUGAUAAAGGUCGGGCUAAGAAGUCAAGGCUAGUCGGUCCCUUUUAAGUGUUCAGUUCAUUUGUCUAUCGAACUGAAGCUUUCUAAUGAUCUUCAUCAAGCAACUUAUUUCCAAUCGAGAUAUUCCAUUUAACAUUACAAAGUAAAAUAUGAAUGAAAUUAACAAUUUAC